rnacentral:rRNA from 27 species
ACGGGUGAGUAACGCGUGGGAAUCUACCGUGCCCUGCGGAAUAGCUCCGGGAAACUGGAAUUAAUACCGCAUACGCCCUACGGGGGAAAGAUUUAUCGGGGUAUGAUGAGCCCGCGUUGGAUUAGCUAGUUGGUGGGGUAAAGGCCUACCAAGGCGACGAUCCAUAGCUGGUCUGAGAGGAUGAUCAGCCACAUUGGGACUGAGACACGGCCCAAACUCCUACGGGAGGCAGCAGUGGGGAAUAUUGGACAAUGGGCGCAAGCCUGAUCCAGCCAUGCCGCGUGAGUGAUGAAGGCCUUAGGGUUGUAAAGCUCUUUCACCGGAGAAGAUAAUGACGGUAUCCGGAGAAGAAGCCCCGGCUAACUUCGUGCCAGCAGCCGCGGUAAUACGAAGGGGGCUAGCGUUGUUCGGAAUUACUGGGCGUAAAGCGCACGUAGGCGGAUAUUUAAGUCAGGGGUGAAAUCCCAGAGCUCAACUCUGGAACUGCCUUUGAUACUGGGUAUCUUGAGUAUGGAAGAGGUAAGUGGAAUUCCGAGUGUAGAGGUGAAAUUCGUAGA